UGGGGAAUUUUCCGCAAUGGGCGAGAGCCUGACGGAGCAACGUCGCGUGUGGGAAGAAAGCUUUUGAGCCGUAAACCACUUUUCUCAGGGAAGAAGAACUGACGGUACCUGAAGAAUCAGCCUCGGCUAACUCCGUGCCAGCAGCCGCGGUAAUACGGAGGAGGCAAGCGUUAUUCGGAAUUAUUGGGCGUAAAGCGUCCGCAGGGGGCACAUCAAGUCCGCUGUUAAAGCUCGGAGCUCAACUUCGAGACAGCAGUGGAAACUGGUGAGCUAGAGGGCGACAGGGGUAGAGGGAAUUCCCAGUGUAGCGGUGAAAUGCGUAGAGAUUGGGAAGAACACCGGUGGCGAAAGCGCUCUACUGGGUCGCACCUGACCCUCAGGGACGAAAGCUAAGCUAGCGAAAGGGAUUAGAUACCCCCGUAGUCC
rnacentral:rRNA from 1 species